rnacentral:rRNA from 1 species
GACGAACGCUGGCGGCGUGCUUAACACAUGCCAGUCGAACGGAAAGGCCCUGCUUUUGUGGGGUGCUCGAGUGGCGAACGGGUGAGUAACACGUGAGUAACCUGCCCUUGACUUUGGGAUAACUUCAGGAAACUGGGGCUAAUACCGGGUAGGAGCUCCUGCUGCAUGGUGGGGGUUGGAAAGUUUCGGCGGUUGGGGAUGGACUCGCGGCUUAUCAGCUUGUUGGUGGGGUAGUGGCUUACCAAGGCUUUGACGGGUAGCCGGCCUGAGAGGGUGACCGGCCACAUUGGGACUGAGAUACGGCCCAGACUCCUACGGGAGGCAGCAGUGGGGAAUAUUGCACAAUGGGCGGAAGCCUGAUGCAGCAACGCCGCGUGCGGGGUGACGGCCUUCGGGUUGUAAACCGCUUUCGCCUGUGACGAAGCGUGAGUGACGGUAAUGGGUAAAGAAGCACCGGCUAACUACGUG